UACGUAGGGUGCAAGCGUUGUCCGGAAUUAUUGGGCGUAAAGAGCUCGUAGGUGGCCUGCCGCGUCGGCUGUGAAAACUCGGGGCUCAACUCCGAGCUUGCAGUCGAUACGGGCAGGCUAGAGUUCGGCAGGGAGACUGGAAUUCCUGGUGUAGCGGUGAAAUGCGCAGAUAUCAGGAGGAACACCGGUGGCGAAGGCGGUCUCUGGGCCCGAUACUGACACUGAGGGAGCGAAAGCGUGGGAGCGAACAGG
rnacentral:rRNA from 1 species